GGGGAAGGCACCAAGAGCAGCCGCUGCUACUUCCCAUCUCUCCCACCCCCAUCCCUAAAGGGUACGCUCUACAAAAAAUUGUGGGAGUGUUUUUUUUUGUGGACCUUUCUGUUACUAUGGAAACGGGAGUAGCUGGAGAGUGUUCCGGGAUACCUGGUAAGGCAAAUGCAAGAUGUAGAAACGGAGGCUGAGAGAUAAAUGAAGUGGCCCAGAUGAUAUUCAUGGUAUGCUGUGGAACCAGGACUCUACCCCAACACUGUAGCUUCUGCCAAACAAAGAUGUCUCUUGUGUGCAGGAUUAGAGAAAAAGGACAGAAGCCAGAACUGGUUUUCUGAAAGGAUGUUAUAGAAGAAGCUACUGGUGGCCCAGAAUCCCUUCCUGGGGCUGGUCUGCCCACCCACUAGUUGCUGUGAGUGUUGGCUCCUGACGACCCAUACCUGCACCUUCUCCUGACAAUUGCCCUCACCUAGAUGGGGGCCACCCACGAGAAAUGCCUGGAAGGUCCCCACACCCUGCGGUGGCCAGCAGCCAAUGACUGACUCAUAUGGAGGCAGAAGACUCAUUCCCUUGCCUCCAGGUGGGCAAGUCUGAGGGCCUCUCACACUCCAGAGCUCCCCACAGGACCAAGCUGAGGCAAGACUUCAGCUGAACCCACAGCUCUGUUCAGCGCCUUCUCCUCCCCUCUCUUGCUUCUCUUAUUCCUCUAGUUUCCACCUGAGAGGUCUUCCUUAUUCACUUGCACAAACCCCUGUCUCAGCUUCUGCUUCAAGAGAACUGACCCAAGACAGGUAUUAAAAGUCAAAGUUCAUUUGGAUCGCAAACUGGCUGACAAUCCACGGGCACCAGGGGAGGAGCAGGAACCAUGGUAUAGUGCCAACAGUCUUCAAUAUGUCAGGAAAGCAGGGGUGCUGACAAGAGACAGUGGGGGAAAGAAGAUAUGGAGGGGUGCUGGAGGCACUUA